AUAUUGGUGUUGUGCCAAAGUAUUACUACGUGCCAGAAUUCGCUAUUAGAGAUGAGCGGAAGGAGCCUGGAAGCCAAGAGAAAAUGCCUGCUUCAGAAGAAUAUGUCAGCCUUUGGGAUCAAUCACUAUAUAUUAUUGUGAAGCUGCUAGGUAAGUUUUGAAAAACCCGCUCGUGCAUGUGAUUUUUCUUCAAGUUUCACUCGAAACCAUACUAUUACCAAUACAAGGUGAAUUAUCCUCCUAAAUGUUUCUCUUCCCCACACAUUUAGAAGCAGAUUUAAUCGACAUUGGUCAUCUGGAUCCGUUGGAAAGGCACAAGGGAAGAUCCAAUCUCGGUCACUAUGGUUACAUAAACCAUAGAUAUUCUUCAUUCAAGGU
rnacentral:lncRNA from 1 species